rnacentral:rRNA from 1 species
AGAGGGGGCAAGCGUUGUUCGGAAUUACUGGGCGUAAAGGGCGCGUAGGCGGCCGCCUAAGUCAGACGUGAAAUCCCUCGGCUCAACCGGGGAACUGCGUCUGAUACUGGGUGGCUUGAAUCCGGGAGAGGGAUGUGGAAUUCCAGGUGUAGCGGUGAAAUGCGUAGAUAUCUGGAGGAACACCGGUGGCGAAGGCGGCAUCCUGGACCGGUAUUGACGCUGAGGCGCGAAAGCCAGGGGAGCAAACGGGAUUAGAUACCCCGGUAGUCCUGGCCCUAAACGAUGAAUGCUUGGUGUGGCGGGUAUCGAUCCCUGCCGUGCCGAAGCUAACGCAUUAAGCAUUCCGCCUGGGGAGUACGGUCGCAAGGCUG